GGAUGCGAUCAUACCAGCACUAAAACAUCGGAUCCCAUCAGAACUCCGAAGUUAAGCGUGCUUGGGCGAGAGUAGUACUAGGAUGGGUGACCUCUUGGGAAGUCCUCGUGUUGCAUUCC
rfam:Triticum aestivum genome assembly, contig: Triticum_aestivum_CS42_TGACv1_scaffold_089176_1DS